AAAAAUAAUGUUAAAAUGAAAGCAGAUAUGAUAGGAGAUCAUAUAGGUAAAUAUAUGAUAUAAUUGAUAAAAAAAAAAUGAAUCAAACAAGUCAUAACAAGAGACUACUAAAUAGACAGCAAAUAAGACCUGUGUUGUGGCAUUAUUUGUGAAAUAUAAUCAUAUAUAGAAAUUGGAAAUUGACCAGUUACAUUUAUUAUUGUAAAAACAUGAUAAAUAAUCAAUAAAUUAGAUUAACCCUUCAAUUUUAAAAGUUCAAUCUGGUAAACAAAAAGUAAAAUAACACACAGAACACUCAAAUUAUUAUUUUAUGAUCAAUUAAGGGCCAUAUCAGUACAAUUUACACAACAAAAUUUUCAUUACUCAUCAUUGGAAUUGUUCUCUUUAUAAGAAUUAAACCUAGAAAAAAAUAUGUGUUCUUGUCAGCUUGACACUGAGAUCCUCAUUUAUAGUAUACAUGCAUUUAUGGUAAACCUGAAGACUACAUUUGUAUUUUUCAUUUUUGAAAAAACACUUUUACCAUUAUUACAGCUAUUUUCCUAAUGCGUGUAGAGUAAAACUUUGGUAGGUUUGCUUGCUCUGUUUGUAUAAAUAUUGAUUCAAGCUUUGUAAUUAAGGUUGAUAUCUUCAAACAAUAAAUAUAGGCAUAUUUGAACCUUAAUGGAGUACUUUUAAAUUUGAUUAGACGUUAUGUCAAUUGCAAUUGUACAAUAUACAAACAAACCAUGCAAGCUAACCGAAGUCUUAGAUUUACAUGCCUUAGGAAAUUAGCUGUAAAAUUAAUUAUAUAUUUGUUUCCAAUGCUUAUUGUUUUACCAAUUUCAAAUGUUUUGGCUUGUUUUUAAAUUGGUCUAUAUCAGCUAUAGGGUCAAAAGGGUCCAAAGUUAAACUUGAUUUCAUAAAACAAUUGAAUAAUUGGUGUUCUUUGAUAUUAUGCAAAAUUAAACGGUGUAUUGUACUUUUUUGGGUUAAAUACUUCUUAUAUGUUUAGAUUUUUAAUAUUCGUUUUCAAAUUGCAAAAAAGAUCACGGGGGCAAAAAAAAACCUUUGUUAGUUUAUUAAAAUAUUAUUGAAGUUUUUUUUUCUAUGCUAAAUGUUAUCAUGCAUUUAGCAUGUUUAGAUUUAUGAUUUGGGCUCAGUUUUCAAGUUGAUUCAAAUUGGGGUCCAAACUUAAACUUUGUUUAAAUUCAUUAAAAAUUGCAUAUAUGGGGUUCUUUGAUAUGAUAAAUCUAAUCAUGUCUUUUAAACUUUAGAUUUUGGAUAUUGGCACAAGUCCAAUUUCAAAAUCAUCAGUUCUUUUACCACACAUCUAUUCUGUGUCAGAAACCUACAUGUAUGAUGUGUCUAAUAAUUCAUCACAAUCCAAAUUCUGAACUGUAUCAUGUGAAUCAAGUUUGAAUGUAGUGUCUAUAUAGUGUCCCCCCCCCCUGAUGAAGGUGCAAUCUCUGCAUUUGUAAUAGAAUGUACCCUUGAGCUGUUUUAUUCUCAUUGUUGAAGGUUGUACAGAGGCAUUACAUUCAUUUCAUUUGAACUUUUGUGGAUAUUUGUCUCAUUUGCAAUCAAUACUCAUCUCCCUAUUUUUGUAUUGUCAUAACGUCAUAAAUACAAGAUGAAAUCUGCAAAAUUAACUUCAUUAAAAUUAAGUUUGCUGCAGCUUGGAAUAAGAAAAAAAUCAAAUUUAGGUCCAUUUUUAGCUAGUAUACUUUAUUUCUUAUUCUAUGUACUGGAAUGUCAGAGUUGUGAUAAUCGAAACACAUUUUACACUAAGACCAAAGUUAAUAAGUAAUUUCUUUUUAGGAAAUUUCAAUCAUUUAAUGGAUAACAAUUGUUUUCUUAUUAUUUUUUACAGACAUUUGGUGAUCCAAAAAUAACUGGAGUUCAUGAAAGAAGACUGAUUGCUGAGACACAUUUUUGUUGAUAAACAUGUUUAUGAUGAAGAAAAACUUAGAUAAUAUUACUGAUACUUGAAUAAGGCUCUGAUCUGUCUUUGAUUUUUCCUGUUGAUGUUAAAAAAUUGCAAGCUCAAAUAAAAAUAAAUUGAAAUGGAACUCAUAUGCUUUGAAAAAAAGGAAAAAAAACGGCAAUGUGAAUCUCGCUGAAGUCUUGAAAACCACCAAGUCAACACACAGUUGCAACACAAAUGAGAAGAGAGAGAUAUUUGCUAGGAAAUAGAAUGUUCUCACUGUCUCACCAUCAGCAAGGCUUUCUCAUCAGCGAAUAAGAAGUC
rnacentral:lncRNA from 1 species